UGGGGAAUAUUGCGCAAUGGGGGGAACCCUGACGCAGCCAUGCCGCGUGAAUGAAGAAGGCUUUCGGGUUGUAAAGUUCUUUCGGUAUUGAGGAAGGUUGAUGUGUUAAUAGCACAUCAAAUUGACGUUAAAUACAGAAGAAGCACCGGCUAACUCCGUGCCAGCAGCCGCGGUAAUACGGAGGGUGCGAGCGUUAAUCGGAAUAACUGGGCGUAAAGGGCACGCAGGCGGUUAUUUAAGUGAAGUGUGAAAGCCCCGGGCUUAACCUGGGAAUUGCAUUUCAGACUGGGUAACUAGAGUACUUUAGGGAGGGGUAGAAUUCCACGUGUAGCGGUGAAAUGCGUAGAGAUGUGGAGGAAUACCGAAGGCGAAGGCAGCCCCUUGGGAAUGUACUGACGCUCAUGUGCGAAAGCGUGGGGAGCAAACAGGAUUAGAUACCCUGGUAGUCCACGCUGUAAACGCUGUCGAUUUGGGGGUUGGGGUUUAACUCUGGCGCCCGUAGCUAACGUGAUNNUCGACCGCCUGGGGAGUACGGCCGCAAGGUUA
rnacentral:rRNA from 1 species